CUGACAGAGGCAGGGGUGCAGACGGGAUGAAUUCAUUUACAUGGAAAUAUGGAGAAGUGAGAGCCAAAUCUGAAAAGGAAAAAAUUAUGAGGGAUAGCAUUGUGAGAACCCUUCUUUGUCUUCUGUCUCAAAGCUUGCUUCCUGAGGUAUUUCUUGUGAUAAGACGCUUAACUGAUUUAUGGAGGUGGCAAAUGAUGGGUGCUACUAUGUGACAAUCAACAUCACUUUGACAUUUGAAAGCACCUGUAAGAGACUAUUCUUUUGUAUCAUUGACUCAAAGUUUGCUGGUAACGGG
ensembl:lncRNA